GCGCCGGUGGUGUAAUGGCGUAGAGCAUUCCCGCCCGGUCAGAGGGAGGUGCGGGUUCGAGUCCCGCCUGGCGCC
rfam:Heligmosomoides polygyrus genome assembly, scaffold: HPBE_scaffold0005440